rnacentral:rRNA from 1 species
CCUAAGGUAGCGAAAUUCCUUGUCAGGUAAGUUCUGACCCGCACGAAAGGCGUAACGAUUUGGGCGCUGUCUCAACAAGAAACUCGGUGAAAUCAUAGUACCUGUGAAGAUGCAGGUUACCCGCGAUCAGACGGAAAGACCCCAUGGAGCUUCACUGCAGCUUAAUAUUGAUAUUGGGUGUGUGAUGUACAGGAUAGGUGGGAGACGAAGAAGCGAGUACGCUAGUAUUCGUGGAGUCAACGUUGGGAUACCACCCUUCAUACAUUUAGUAUCUAACUAGUAUCCAUAAUCUGGGUAUAGAACAGUGUUAGGUGGGCAGUUUGACUGGGGCGGUCGCCUCCCAAAGAGUAACGGAGGCGCCCAAAGGUACGCUCAGAUUGGAUGGAAACCAAUCGUCGAGUGCAAUUGCAGAAGCGUGCUUGACUGUGAGACAGACAAGUCGAACAGGGACGAAAGUCGGGAAUAGUGAUCCGGCGGUGCCGAAUGGAAGGGCCGUCGCUCAACGGAUAAAAGCUACCCUGGGGAUAACAGGCUGAUCUCGCCCAAGAGUUCACAUCGACGGCGAGGUUUGGCACCUCGAUGUCGGCUCAUCGCAUCCUGGAGCUGGAUUCGGUUCCAAGGGUUGGGCUGUCCGCCCAUUAAAGCGGUACGCGAGCUGGGUUCAGAACGUCGUGAGACAGUUCGGUCCCUAUCUGUUGUGGGCGAAGGAGAUCUGCGGAGAGCUGUCCUCAGUACGAGAGGACCGGGAUGGACCUACCGCUGGUGCACCGGUUGUUCCGCCAGGGGCAUAGCCGGGUAGCUAAGUAGGGAAAGGAUAAGCGCUGAAAGCAUCUAAGCACGAAGCCUACUCCAAGAUGAGAUCUCCCAUUCGCAAGAAGUAAGACCCCUUAAAGACGAUAAGGUAGAUAGGCCAGGGAUGGAAGUGCAGUGAUGUACGGAGUUGACUGGUACUAAUCGGUCGAGGACUUAAUCAG